CUCUCUGUGCUGCAAUGGGUCAGCGCGUUCGGCUGUUAACCGAGAGGAUGGUGGUUAGAACCCACCAAGGGACG
rnacentral:tRNA from 1 species